AGUGCUGAUUCUUCUGAGGAGAAACGAUUCAAGAGAAGAGAAAAAUUCCUUCGGAAAUUUCAGAAAUAUCCAUAUGGAUCAAACCCAGGAUUCUUACCAUACCAAGGAUUUAACCCAUAUCUAAAUCCAAAUCCAUAUCCAUAUCGUAACCCUGUGGAAUAUCCUUAACUUGUUGCUUGGUAACCAUAGGACUUGAUUAAAGAGGUUUGAUACGAAAAUCCAGUUGCUGUAUGCAUUUUCCAUCCUUCAUCUCACUUCAUACUUCUAUCAACUUUUCAUAGAGUGAUUAAAAACACAAUGUGGAAUACAUAAAGACAAUAACCAUGUAUUUUCUGCAUUUCUGAUACCUGCCUUUCUGAUACCUAAUAUUUGAUUAGACAGUCUCAAUUUCAAAUUGUCAAGCUGAUUUCACUAAUGAUUCUGAGUAACACAAAUCCAUUUUCUUUCUUAAAGCAAUAAAUUUCAAGUGUAUCCUUA